rnacentral:rRNA from 1 species
CAGUAGCCACGGUAACACGUAGGGUGCGAGCGUUAAUCGGAAUUACUGGGCGUAAAGCGUGCGCAGGCGGUUGUGUAAGACAGGUGUGAAAUCCCCGGGCUUAACCUGGGAACUGCGCUUGUGACUGCACAGCUAGAGUAUGGCAGAGGGGGGUGGAAUUCCACGUGUAGCAGUGAAAUGCGUAGAGAUGUGGAGGAACACCGAUGGCGAAGGCAGCCCCCUGGGCCAAUACUGACGCUCAUGCACGAAAGCGUGGGGAGCAAACAGGAUUAGAUACCCCCGUAGUCCCUGUCUCUUAUAA